UACGUAGGGUGCGAGCGUUGUCCGGAAUUACUGGGCGUAAAGAGCUCGUAGGCGGUCUGUCGCGUCUGCUGUGAAAACUCAGGGCUUAACCCUGAGCUUGCAGUGGGUACGGGCAGACUAGAGUGCGGUAGGGGAGACUGGAAUUCCUGGUGUAGCGGUGAAAUGCGCAGAUAUCAGGAGGAACACCGGUGGCGAAGGCGGGUCUCUGGGCCGUAACUGACGCUGAGGAGCGAAAGCAUGGGGAGCGAACAGG
rnacentral:rRNA from 1 species